GGUUGGGGGAGAGAACUCGAAAUGCUAAGAAAGUAGAAAGAGUGACCUCAUCAGGCGAACGGUGUAAUUGACUGUAAGCGAGGAGGAAAAAUAAGAAGCUGCAGGAUGAAUCCUGGUCCACUGCAUCAGAAAUAAAGUGGGAGGCCUCUCUGCUCUAAUCUCUCACUGUUCUUCCUCUGUCCCUCUCUCUAUCUGUCUUUCCCCCUCCUUUCCUUCCCCCAAGUUUGACAAGCAGCUGUUGUGCUGUCCGGCAAAGCGGCUGACUUGAUCAAUCCCAGUCCCUCUGACAAGGACGUCAACCAGCAGACCUGUGUCUCUGUGAACCUUGCUUCCAACUGCUAAGACACCACAGUGCUGCCUCACCCACUCCACUACCUUUGAGGAAGAGGGAAGAACACCAAAUAGGCAGGAACCCUUCACAUGUAUCAAUCCCUAAUGGAUUCUGUGUGUGUGCGUGUGUGUGUGUGUGUGUGUGUGCGUGUGUAUUAAUCACAGUGUUUCUGUGGAUUAUUUGGAGAUUUUUUUUGUUUUUAAAAAAACAACAAAAUAAAGCUAAAAUUAAAAACAGGUAUAAUAAAAAAUUGUAAAAUAAAAAAUAUAUAUAUUUCUUCAACCGUGCGUGGCAUGUGACAGAAAUGCAAUGAAACAGUCAAGACAUCAUGACUGGAAUAGAUGAACCCCAUCUUGAACCCGUGUGGUUGUUGGUUUAAAGGGCGCAUGUUGCACAGCGCAAACAUAAUCAAACUUUCACCCUAUUAUCAUCCGGCCACCUUGGGCCCUCCUAGACUGAGGACACAGACAGGUUCUAAGAUGUUCUCUCUCCCUCUGCUGCUCACUAGGAAGAGUCAUGGACAGUUGCUGCUUCUGCUUCCCAGCAUGCAUCACCUGAUGUCUCCUGUUGUUUCUUGCUGUCAGGCUCCUCCAUAAAUUGGCUGUUAGCUCUGAGCCACAGGCACAUCUUCACUGGAUAGAGAAUAAAUUGUUUUCCCACAGAGUGUUUCAUUUUUUAACAUAAUAUUUCAUUUAAAUGACUGCAUAUGUGGAUCUAAUUUGUAUGAGAGAUGAGAGAUAAUAUUUAAUUUUUUGAUUGUUGGACUGUUAGAUCACAAUUCUUCAUCUUGAAUGAAACAAUAAAUUAAGAAUGAUUUUAGGAUCAUAUUCAUCAAAAAUAACCUAAGAACACGCUCAUAAAUAAUCAGAAAAUUCACUGAUAUUAUUCUCUGUCUGUAUGUGUGAGUGAAUGCAGAUUGCUUUACAGUGAGUCAUUAUUAAAUAAGAGUUUCAUGUAGUAACUGGGGCAAAAAGGACUGGAUGAAGUGCAGUGUGUACAAGGGACUCCAACACAUCACAGAGCUGUUACCUUUGUUUAUCUACAGAACAGCAGGAGUCAAUCCAGAAGGGUGACUGGAACAAAUUUAAAUGGUGCACCUCAUGAACUGGAGGCUGUAACCUCAGCCACUUAAGUGUCACAGAGGAGACGCCCACUGUGAAAUCACUGGAUCUCCCAGGACAAUGUAAAACUGUUAUCCUAGAAAGAAUCUAUUCAGCCCCUUCAAUUUAACGUGUACUAUUUUCAUAGAGGUUUCAGGAUUUUUUCUACAGCAUUUCAGAACCUCUUCCUCAAAUGACUUCUGGAAGCUAUGUGAUAAAUAGGACUCAGUGGUACCCACAAUUUCCAAAGACGUUCCUAUCAGCAACGACCGAGUGCCGUUGAAGAGGUGACAUCACCCGCGGUGAGCUGCGCAUUCCGUAGCUGUCGGCCAGAGCCUGGCAGCAGCUGCCGCUUCCUGUCCCCGGCAACGGCCUCCCGGGAUUCAAAGGGUAUUCUAAUCAGGUGUACAACCACAGGGCUGAAGCAACCUCCUGGGUGGUGUGAAAACCAGCUUUAUAAAACCAGCCCGGUGCCAGCUGCAGCCCAGGUGCGCUCUCCAGCCAAAGAUCCACACGGACUCUGACAGCGGAGCUACAACCGAGAUAAGGUGGCUUUUCUGGCUGAUUGAAAGGGUUAAAGUCUGGCCUCUGUUUCUACAGAUUUCAACCAGAAUCAAUGGCUGAGCCACACAGUGGCACCCUGUAGAUGGGCCUGUAGAUGACUUGGAGCUGGUGUGUGCCGCAGCUGGUCUUGUGAAUGUGAAAGAGCUGGGCCAGGGCCUCCAUGUACAGGCUGUGGUAGUGAUGCACCAUCUCUAUCUGUACUGCAGACUAGAUCUGGGUCAAAUACUCAUGUAAAUCCCUCUGGGUGAAAAACAUCUCCUAAAUGACUAACAGAAAUAUUAACAUGUUGAUUUAAAAAAAAAUAUCAUAAAAAGAGGAUUAUUCUCCUGCAACCACUGAUUUUACUGUUAUUCGAGUGAAUGAGAGCAAGAAUGCAAGAAACAGGCAAGAACAAAAACAAUAAUCAAAGAAGACAAAAUAAACUAAAUUGAGUCUCACUGGAUAUCAAGCAACCUAAAGGCAUAUGGGGUGAAUGUUUCUCAGAUUUCUCAGAUUCUGCAGCGAUCUUUGCCCAGUAUACAAUCUAACAGGAGGCAAGCGUCACCUGAUCCUUGCAGCUGUUGCGGGGACACUUGAAGGAUUGACCUUCUUCACCCCAUGGGGGAUUUAUAGAACUGCAGAAGGGCCACCUGCUCCAAACCCCCAUCAUUCCCUCGUCCCAGUUGGAUAGUAUUUUCUUUAGUUUUUCCAUUUCAUCGCUGUAAAUAAAUCUGGCGUCUUUCCAUCUCUCAUCCCCCUCUCCCACCCACCCAAAAUAUUCCUUGUUCGUUUUCAGAGCUGGCAGAAAUAACGGCAUAUUCAGAGUAUACAAGCUGAGUGCUUCUCUCAGUAAUGCCACUAACUAGGCAUGACGAUGUAUCCAGUGUUUCCAGAAUUCAUUUCACAGCUUGACAACACAUUAUGCAGAGCUGUAGUCAGGUGUUGCGACAGGUGCAUUUG